GAUGAACGCUAGCUACAGGCUUAACACAUGCGAGUCGAGGGGAAACGGCAUUAAGUGCUUGCACUUUUUGGACGUCGACCGGCGCACGGGUGAGUAACGCGUAUCCAACCUUCCCAUGACUAAGGGAUAACCUGCCGAAAGGCAGACUAAUACCUUAUGGUCUUCACUGACGGCAUCAGAUGUGAAGUAAAGAUUUAUCGGUUAUGGAUGGGGAUGCGUCUGAUUAGCUUGUUGGCGGGGUAACGGCCCACCAAGGCAACGAUCAGUAGGGGUUCUGAGAGGAAGGUCCCCCACAUUGGAACUGAGACACGGUCCAAACUCCUACGGGAGGCAGCAGUGAGGAAUAUUGGUCAAUGGGCGAGAGCCUGAACCAGCCAAGUAGCGUGCAGGAGGACGGCCCUAUGGGUUGUAAACUGCUUUUGUAUGGGGAUAAAGUCAAUCACGUGUGAUUGUUUGCAGGUACCAUACGAAUAAGGACCGGCUAAUUCCGUG
rnacentral:rRNA from 1 species